GCAUAGCUACUCAGUAAAAUAUUCUGCAGUUUUAAAAUUAUAAUUAUGAAAGCUAUAUAGCAAUAUGGGAAAUGCUUACAAUGUCAUGUUAAGUGGGAAAAAAUACAGUACUGCAUUAAAUUUAGGUUAUGGCUGUAGCUAUGCCAAAAUAAUGUAUGUAUCUGGAUGAGAAACAGAAACAAUUUUGAAAAAUGAAGAUAAAGUGAUUUGCUGGGAUAUCAAGAUUAUGGGUAAAAACUUCUCUAUUUCAGUGAUCAGCUACAGACCAUCAACAGUGUUGAUUGAGAAUUGAACAAAAACAUUUCAAGGAGUUUGGGAACAUUAGUGAUGCUAUUCUGUGGCCCCAUGUGUCCUUCUCUCAUUUUUCUAGAGAACUCCUAUAAGAAAGCAGAACACAGCCAGGCAUGGUGGCUCACGCCUGUAAUCCCAGCACUUCAGGAGGCUGAGGCAGGCAGAUCACCUGAGGUCAGGAGUUCAAGACCAGCCUGGCCA
rnacentral:lncRNA from 1 species